GGAUCAUUCGGUCGGCUGUGAUGUCACACAGGACGGCUGACUCUCAUUCGAGCUCCUUUCUCAUCACCUUUUUUUUUUAUGCAUUUUUAUGGCUAAUGUUCUGUAGGAAUUAUGAUUUCUGUAAAAGACGUUUUAUGGUUAUGACAUUAUUAAACAAAUGAUUAUUAUUAUUAUUAUUAAAACGGUUCUAUGUUGCAUCAAGAGAACAGCUGCGUUUGUGUCCACAAAAGUGAAUUUUGCACUUUCAGUUUUUGACUCGUUCUUUUGCUUUUCUUCCGUUUCCUGUUCAACCUCCUUCAUUCCAUCCAUCCAUCCAUCUCUCUCUCUCUCUCACUCUCUCUCUCUCUAUGUCUCUGUGUCUCUCUCUCUCACUCUCUCUCUAUGUCUCUGUCUCUCUCUCUAUGUCUCUGUGUCUCUCUCUCUCUGAUGUCAAUGACAGAUGCAUUGUGGGUAGUUUGACAAAUGCUGCAAAAGUUCAUUUUCUCAAUCAGUAUUUAUAGUGUUUUCCAGUAAAAGUAUCUUUAAAACAAGAUGAAGAAAACACAUUUAAUUUAAUUUAAUGCAAGUAUCUGACAUCAUUCUCCUCGUCAAGUAAACGGAUGUUGAUUCAAGAAUAUUUCAAUAUUUUUCACUUGAAAAUAAUAUUUUUUCAGUGUUGAUGUUGCUGAUAUUUUAUACAGAGCCGUUUCUGUUCCAAAGCUUUACUAUCAGUUAUGUGUCUGCGGAAGCUUUUGUAUAUUUGAUCUUUAUGCAGGUUUGUUUUGUGUUCCAAUAUUAAUGUUUUAUCCAAAUGAGGCGGGAGAGAGAGAGAGAGAGUGUGAGAGAGACACAGUGAGUGAGAGUGAGUGAGUGUGAGAGAGACACAGUGAGUGAGAGUGAGUGAGUGUGAGAGAGACACAGUGAGUGAGAGUGAGUGAGUGUGAGAGAGACACAGUGAGUGAGAGUGUGAGAGAGACACAGUGAGUGAGUGUGAGAGAGACACAGUGAGUGAGUGUGAGAGAGACACAGUGAGUGAGUGUGAGAGAGACACAGUGAGUGAGAGUGAGAGCAUGUGAGAGAGACACAGUGAGUGAGUGUGAGAGAGACACAGUGAGUGAGAGUGAGAGAGUGUGAGAGAGACACAGUGAGUGAGUGUGAGAGAGACACAGUGAGUGAGUGUGAGAGAGAGUGUGUGUGUUAGAGAGUUAGAGAGAGAGAGUGUGAGAGAGACACAGUGAGUGUGAGUGAGAGUGAGUGAGUGUGAGAGAGAGAGAGCUUCAUUUCACACUGAUCUUUGUAUUUCUCAGUUUAAAGCAGAAAUGAUUGACCGGAUGUCGUUUGAACGGUUUCUACAGUAACACACGGCCAGAUUUGAUCAUUUCUGUCAUCGCUUCAUCGUUCACCUUCAGUCUGACCAAACGAAUAACUGUCAUGUGAUGUGGAGUGAGACAGGUGUGUGUGUGUGGAUGAAGAGCAGAUGAUAACUCAUCCUCAUCAUCAUUCGUCCCUUUCUAUCUGCUUUUAUUUGUUCUCUUUUGGCUUUAUGUUUUUGGAGAAAUACUGAAGUGCAACAACAAUGGUUCAAAAAGAAUUCCAAACAAAGUGAGAGAAAUAAAACAUAUAUAUAUAAAUAAAGAAGUUACUAUGAGAGAAGUGUGUGCUGUCUCUUAUUUAACCAGCAGGGGGCGUCAGUGUGCCCCUUGAAUACUGGUGUUGUGCCAUGGCAUCAGAUGGUGA